UUACUUUACAUAUUACUGGAGGCUCGAUCAGUUUGGAAGCUCGUCGAAGAGCUCUAUCACACUAUCCAGCAAUUAUAUCGAUAGAUUCUGAUGUCUUGGUUAUGGUUAUAAUGGCAUGUAUAGGUGGACUUAUUCUAAAGUUUAGAUGAUGUUUAUGGCUUGUAAUGUUGCCUUAGAUUUAAGGUACUUAUGGUGUUCUUGAUGCCUUGUUGGUUGUGGUUGAUAUGGUCAAUUUGAUGCAUGUUUAGAAAUAACCAAAUUUG
rnacentral:lncRNA from 1 species